GAUGAACGCUGGCGGCGUGCCUAAUACAUGCAAGUCGAGCGAACAGGCGAGGAGCUUGCUCCCCUGACGUUAGCGGCGGACGGGUGAGUAACACGUGGAUAACCUACCUAUAAGACUGGGAUAACUUCGGGAAACCGGAGCUAAUACCGGAUAAUAUAUUGAACCGCAUGGUUCAAUAGUGAAAGACGGUUUUGCUGUCACUUAUAGAUGGAUCCGCGCCGCAUUAGCUAGUUGGUAAGGUAACGGCUUACCAAGGCAACGAUGCGUAGCCGACCUGAGAGGGUGAUCGGCCACACUGGAACUGAGACACGGUCCAGACUCCUACGGGAGGCAGCAGUAGGGAAUCUUCCGCAAUGGGCGAAAGCUUGACGGAGCAACGCCGCGUGAGUGAUGAAGGUCUUCGGAUCGUAAAACUCUGUUAUUAGGGAAGAACAAAUGUGUAAGUAACUAUGCACGUCUUGACGGUACCUAAUCAGAAAGCCACGGCUAACUACGUG
rnacentral:rRNA from 1 species